rnacentral:rRNA from 1 species
GAUGAACGCUAGCGGGAGGCCUAACACAUGCAAGCCGAGCGGUAUUGUUUCUUCGGAAAUGAGAGAGCGGCGUACGGGUGCGGAACACGUGUGCAACUUGCCUUUAUCUGGGGGAUAGCCUUUCGAAAGGAAGAUUAAUACUCCAUAAUAUAUUGAACGGCAUCGUUUAAUAUUGAAAGCUCCGGCGGAUAGAGAUGGGCACGAGCAAGAUUAGCUAGUUGGUGAGGUAACGGCUCGCCAAGGCGAUGAUCUUUAGGGGGCCUGAGAGGGUGAUCCCCCACACUGGUACUGAGACACGGACCAGACUCCUACGGGAGGCAGCAGUGAGGAAUAUUGGUCAAUGGGUGCAAGCCUGAACCAGCCAUCCCGCGUGAAGGACGACUGCCCUAUGGGUUGUAAACUUCUUUUGUAUAGGGAUAAACCUAUCCUCGUGAGGGUAGCUGAAGGUACUAUACGAAUAAGCACCGGCUAACUCCGUGCCAGCAGCCGCGGUAACAC